CUACAUCAUCAUAAUUAAAAUUUUGCUAAUCAUCACUUUGUCCCAAACCGACCUCAAAUUCAAAUUUAAAAGACAAGUCAAAAUUAUUUCUCCUCAAGCUAUAAAACUAAAAUGUGCGAAUAGUUCUAUACAAUUUCCUUGAUCAAUGUCAUGUUUAAACCAACUUGGUUUGACUCACAAAUAAAUUCCUAGGAAAUUACUAAGUGGUCCAAAAGCAUUUAAAUUGGCCUUUUCAAAAUAAGCAAAUAUUUAUAAAUUUUCAAAUGAUGUGAAACAUUGUGUGUGGUCUCAAAAUAUUGCCUACUAAUUACGUGCCAAAUUUCAAGUUGAACUAAAUUAAUUACUUUGGCAAUUAAGUAGAAAACAGUACAGAAUUAAUAAAGCAGAAAAUUUGAAAAAAAAAGGAAAAUGGGCCAAGUGCACACUGUGCACUAGAAGCCUAGUGCUACAGUAGCGUGGCCCAAGCCCACCAGGGCAUUCUCCAUCUUCCUCAGGAAGCAGAGAUCUGUGCGUGGCACACAUCCACGCCUCCAUGCCGCCGUGUCGACCAUCCGGCGAGCCCCCGCGGUAUACAAGACCAUCCCCAAGCCCUAGGACAAACCCUAGACGCCCAGUUCCCUCGUUUCCCCCUCGCACUCGAUCUGGAAGAGGAGCCGAAGCUUCCGGCGCCGCGCCAUAGUCGUCAUCAUGGCCGCCAGCCUCCCCUUGCUGCACCAAGGUGUCCAGCAGCCUCCUCGUGGUCGUCUCCUUCGUCCCCACCAAAGAACCCGAGCCAGGCCGCACCGUACGCUCGGGAUCGAGCCGGUUUCUCUGCCACGGCCGCGGCAUCUCACCGUCGAUCUACACCACCGCGCCACCCCGGCCGUCACAAGCACGUCCCCGACCUCCCUCUCGGUGAGCUGCGCCGAUUCCCCCCGUUUUCCCCUUUGAUCCAUCGUCAUAGGCCCUGUUUUCCAUUGUGCCCGGAGCUCCGCGCGUCGCUGGUCUUGUUCGGCUGCUCCCUGGACACGCGCCCGCGUGUGAACCUCCACGGCUUGGCGUGCCCAAGCGCGCACUCGACCGCCCUGGCGGCGCCCUUGCCUAGCCACCCGCGCGCUACGGCCGCUGCGCCCCGCGCCCAUCCCACGCGCCCACGCCCGUCUGCCUGCUGCUGGCACUGCUGCUGUUUUCUGCUACUGCGGCGCAACCGAUGCCUUUGCUUACUGCUGGCGCCUGCUACUUUGCUGUUGCUCGUGCCACCGUUGUUGCUGCUCUCUGCACCGGCUCAUUGCUGCUGCUGCUCCUAAUCCCUGCCGCUACUGCUCUUUGCUACUGCGUGCUGCUGGCAAUGCAGGCCAUGGCCGCUAUGCACUCCAGUGCAUACGUGCAUGUAUCUUCUACUACCCAGUAAGGCCGCCCCAUUAGAUUAGUCUAGGAAUAGAUUAGGUUAGUUUAUUUGUUUAGUUAGUGAGAUGUGUAGAUGACAUGUGGCCCUUUCUAGAUUAAUUUAGUCUAGCUACUUUUAUUAGCACGUGUGACACUGACAUGCGGGUCCCCUAGAGAUUAAACAAAAAUCAAAUUACCUACUAUCUAUGACAAUUGGGUCCCGUCGGCACUGUUGACUUUCACUAGUCAACUUUGACUGGGUUGUUGACUUUGACUCUAGCCCCACCUGGCAGUCAAACAGCCACACUGGUAGUGUACACACCCUGGGUACACCUAGCUUUUAGUCAUUUAUUUUCGAAAUAAAAGUUUUUCAUAAAAUCUUUUAAUCUUUGAACAAUCAUAUAAAAUAAACGGUAACUCGGAUGGAAAUAAUUUAUAUAUGAAAGUUGCUCAAAACGAUGAGACGAAUCCGGAUACGCAGCCUGUUCGUCCGCCACGCAUCACUAGCAUAGCGAACCUGCAACCUCCCCCUCCGGUUCGUUUGUCCGAAUAUGCCAAACACCGGGAAUACUUUCCCGGAUGUUUCCCUUUUCGCCGGUAUCACCUAUCCUUGCGUUAGGUAACCCCUAGCAUAACGUAUUGCCGCGUCGUACUUUGUGUUACAUUUGAUUGCUUUAUUAUUUAUUGUGUUCCCCCUCCGUUACUUCUUUCCGGUAGACUCCAAGUCCGCUGCCGAUGUUCGUGUGUUCGACUACAUCGAGGACGACCCCUCCUACUUGCCAGAACAACCAGGCAAGCCCCCCCUUGAUCACCAGAUAUCGCAUAUUCUUCUCUACUGCUUGCAUUAGAGUAGUGUAGCAUGUUACUGCUUUCCGUUAAUCCUAUUCUGAUGCAUAGCCUGUCAUUGUUGCUCUAGCUGUUGAUACCUUACCUGCAAUCCUAAAUGCUUAGUAUAGGAUGCUAGAUUAUCAUCAGUGGCCCUACACUCUUGUCCGUCUGCCAUGCUAUACUACUGGGUCGUGAUCACUUCGGGAGGUGAUCACGGGCAUAUGAUAUAUACUUAUAAUGUUACAUUACUUAUGAUACUAUUCGGAGAUGGGGGCUGAAGGGGCAGGUGGCUCCAUCCAGGUAGUGGUGGGCCUGAGUUCCCGACGGCCCCCGGCUGUUACUUUGUGGCGGAGCGACAGGGCAGGUUGAGACCACCUAGGACAGAGGUGGGCCUGGUCCUGGUCGGCAUUCGCGGAUACUUAACACGUAUAAUGAGAUCUUGGUAUUUGAUCUGAGUCUGGCCACUGGCCUAUACGCACUAACCAUCUACGCGGGGACAGUUAUGGGCACUCGACGUCGUGGUAUCAGCCGAAGCCUUCGUGACGUCAGCGACUGAGCGACGCGCGCCGGAUUGGAACGUAAGCCUGCUCUUGUAUUAAGGGGGCUAGUUCUGCUUCCGGCCACCCUCGCAACGUGCAGGUGUGCAAUGGGCGAUGGGCCCAGACCCCUGCGCCAUAGGAUUUAGACCGGUGUGCUGACCUCUCUGUUGUGCCUAGGUAGGGCUGCGACGUGUUGAUCUUCUGAGGCCGGGCAUGACCCAGAAAAGUGUGUCCGGCCAAAUGGGAUCGAGCGUGUUGGGUUAUGUGAUGCACCCCUGCAGGGAAGUUAAUCUAUUCGAAUAGCCGUGAUCUUCGGUAACAGGACGACUUGGAGUUGUACCUUGACCUUAUGACAACUAGAACCGGAUACUUAAUAAAACACAUCCUUCCAAGUGCCAUAUACAACCGGUGAUCGCUCUCUCACAGGGCGACGAGGGGAGGAUCAUCGGUCAGGAUUACGCUAUGCGAUGUUACUUGGUGAACUUACCAUCUACUCUCUUCUUCUGCUGCAAGAUGGAGGUGGCCAGAAGCGUAGUCUUCGAUAGGAAUAACUAUCCCCCUCUUAUUCCGGCAUUCUGCAGUUCAGCCCACAUAUGUUACCCCUUUUGCCAUUUGAUACCAAUGCAUACAUAUGUAGUGUAGCUCCUUGCUUGCGAGUACUUUGGAUGAGUACUCACGGUUGCUUUGCUCCCCCUUUUCCCCCUUCCUAUACCCGUUUGCUGCGACCAGAUGAUGGAGCCCAGGAGCCAUACGCCACCGUCGACGAUGACUCCUACUACACUGGAGGUGCCUACUACUACGUGCAGCCCGCUGCCGACGACCAGGAGUAGUUUAGGAGGAUCCCAGGCAGGAGGCAUGCGCUUCUUUCGAUUUGUAUCCCAGUUUGUGCUAGCCUUCUUAAGGCUAACUUGUUUAACUUAUGUCUGUACUCAGAUAUUAUUGCUUCCGCUGACUCGUCUAUGAUCGCUCUUGUAUUCGAGCCCUCUGGCUUGUAAUAUGAUGCUUGUAUGACUUAUUUUAUUUAUAGAGUUGUGUUGUGAUAUCUUCCCGUGAGUCCCUGAUCUUGAUCGUACACGUUUGCGUGUAUGAUUAGUGUACGAUUGAAUCGGGGGCGUCACAAGUUGGUAUCAGAGCCGACUGCCUGUAGGAAUCCCCCUUCCACACUCCUUGGCCGAAGUCGAGUCUAGACAUUGCAAAACUUUUUACUAACAUGGCUGUGUGCCUUACGGGCCCACGUCGCCAUUUGGGUGGUAUUAGGAUCUUUUACUCCUCGAUCCUUACUCUGGGGCUCUGAUCUCUCUUCUAUUCGGGUUAAAAUGAAUUUACUAACUCUGACUCUAGGAUCUCGUAACUACUUCCACCUGGAGAGCACCUUAUUACGAUGAUCGUCUACUGCACCAGAAGAUUCCGAAGUUACUCUCAGAUGUUCUCUCGAGACUUUGUGCGCACCACUUUUGUUAUUCCCGACUAUCAAAAAUCCCUUAUGGAUGACUACUUACGCUUGCCAUUCGUACAAUCAUUCCCCGUGACCUUGUUAUUAUAAGAUACCACGAAUUCCUCUCAUCGUUCUGAGAAUACUUUGAGCAUACUGCCUUGCAGUUCUUUGCCACAUGAAUACCAAUGUGGAUAAUUCCUCGCUCUUACCAAGUAUCCGCUCAUCCCAUUUGAUUCAAGUAUUUCACAAAAGUCUUCGAAAUACCAUUCGAUCUUUCGAAAAUCCUCAUCCGACUAUUACUCUUGAAAUUCUUGCUUGCUUGCAUUAUGAUUAAUCUCAUAGGUCUGGUAGUAUUAUUGGCAUCCUUUGUCAUUAUCAUUUCGAGCCUGUUGAUUCAAUAGGUUGUGAAUGCUCGCAAUCCUCAAUCAGAUCCUGGAAUUCAUCCUUCUGGCUCAGACGUCAUUUUAAACAUGAGCUGGAUCUUGACCAAUCAAAUUGCCGGCGAUUCUACCCCUAAGCUUACUCAACUUAUCCAUCCUUAAUCAGAGCGCUUGCUUGUGAGCCCUUGAAUUGGAAAUCAUAAUUCCUUUGCAUCUGAGCUUUGGUUUAGCCAGUUGUUUCUAUAAUUCAAUGCCUUUGCAUUGUUACUUCCUUUGCUUGUGUGCCAAUACUCACAUCAGAUCCUUUGUGGACCACCAGAUCCCUUACUGGAUUUUGUCCGACAACGUCUUCAUAUUCAAUAAACUUGUGGGGCUUUCCUCGGAUACAUAAUGCCUUUGGUAAAAUGGUAUCCCCUGCUUUUGUCAACCAUGCUAUGCUCCCGAGCUUGAGUUAUUCGCUCCUGAAGUUGUGGUAUAUGUUCCUAAGAGACCCUGAUGGGUUGAACCUAUGCCUUUUCCUAAUCUACGUGAGCCCGAAAGAUUUCACGGGUCAUACUCAUCUGGUAUUUCACCAGGUAAAACUUUCAACACUAAUGCCAUUAUCGAAACGAGAAGUGAAUGUAAGGUUAUGCUUUGGAGAAGUGGGAGUCGACCUUGAACUUUGUGUUCAUGCCCAUGGACCCGAGGUGGAACUUAUCAUGGAAGCUUCUCGUAGUAAUAGUAAUCCCCUUGUUAUAACUUCUUCUCUUAUCUAUGCUUGGUCUUUUGCGACCGUGGUUUCGACCAUAUUGUUCUUCUUCGAUCCCAUUUCUUGGAUAAGUUUAAGUGCUUGCCUUCUGCAAAUGAUUUCACUUGUCCAACCUCUAUCCCGAUCUACCCUUGAGUAUACCCUCUGGUGCCACGAGAAUAUCAUGGAACUACAUAACUUCUUAUGAGUUCUUCAUCAAGUACUACAUUCUCACUGAUUACAAUUUUUCAUGGGCGCUGAGUUAUUAAACACUCAAAGACACCGAUAAUUGAACUGAGUCCGCACUACGGUUCAACAACUCUUAGUAAUCUUCUUUAAGUACAAGUUUGUACACGAUCACGCCAUUCCUGGUCUGUUUGACUAUAUCAUUAUCGUGCUAAAUUUUAACUAUGCUACCUGGUCCUUCUUCCCGGAGCAUAAUUUUCGAUGAUGAGCUAAGCUUACGUCGAUCUGCCUCAUCAUAUCUUUUUGCUUUGGAUAACAAGCUUUGUUGGAGUUUGUGUUGUACCCUUGGUUCCAUUAACCUUUCGCUUCAUCAUCCCUUUCAACUUGAUGUCAUCGCCGAUCGAUUACAUCUUCAUGAGAUCUCUCGACAAAUGUGUCAUGAUCAUCAUGAGCAUUCUGAGCUCUUCCAGGAUAUCAAUUGAAUUCAUGAUGAGAAAUACUAUCCUUGCCCUCAAUGAUUUGUUUUAUCAUCGACCACUUUAUUGCCUUCCGUUCAACACAAACUUGUUCGUGUUUUGUGUUAUACCUUGAGAUCCUUGCUAUCCAGCAUUUGUUCUUCUUUAUCUUGGAGUAUUACCAUCUUUUAUGUCAAGAAUGUCGUGAGAAUUUCACAACCUCUUAAGAAUUCUUGAUACAGGUGAUCCUUCUUGCCAUAUCCGUUCAUUCCUUGGUCCCCGUGUUGUUUCUAACCGGAGAACCGACAAUUGAACUAUGAUGUGCGACUUCAAAACUUCUAGUAACCCUAUUGCUUUGAAGUUAAUGGUCGAUGUUUCAUUCUUAGACCAUUGGUUAUCGAAUCAUCAUUCUAACAUUGAUCGUACUACCUAAGCCCAUGUUUCGGGUGCACUUUUCAGCCAUUGUUUAAUUAUGUAAGUUUUCCUUGAGCAUACAUCAUUAUAUGAUUUGAUCCGACAAAUGUUAUCUCCUUGUUCACAUAACUGUGGAAAUCCACCUUUUUGGAAAUCUCGAGGAUUGUCGCUGACUCCAUCAGCUACCCCCUGAUCCCCCUUCCUUUGUUUAAUGAUGAACUCUUGUUUUAGAAUCGCUUCCAUAGUACAUUUCCCGAGAACCUUACAAUGUCAUCUCGUCAAUUUGUGUUACACCUUUCUUCUUAGGCAUCCUGAGUCUAUGUUAUCCUGACACCAAUCAGAUCUGCAUCUCGGUCAGAUAUGAUGGUUGGAACAUCCUUCCAAGAGUUAUAACGUUUGUCUUUAUAUGACUCGGUAAGGUGAUGUCAUGCCUAGCACACCGGGCCGGAGAAUCUAUUGUUAUAGUUUCUAAUUUAGCAAGGUUAACCAUUCUCCCAUGAGUAAGUCGUAAGACUUAUUCUAUAUGUUGUUCCUGAUGAAUCCUUUGUGUAUCCAAAUUCCAACCUUUGCUUGAAGACCUUGUCAAUGCUAUCUCGAAGCAUGUCUGUCGUGCUCCGAUUUUCAACAAGAACAUUUGAAGCCUAAUGCUAAAUGUCACUUGCUCAAUUAUCCAAAGACCGUUGUAUGGGUAAUGUCAAGAAAUUUCUCUCCCCUUACCUAAAUAGUUUUCUACAUUAUAUCCUGUCAUGGAUAUCAUGCUCUGUUUAUCCUUGGGAAGGAUAUGCCCUUGAAAUAUGUGUUUAAACACAUUUUCCUUUCCAUUGUUCUGUUUAAUCUGAUAAUCGUAUUUUCCUUUCCAUUGGUUGGUUUAAUGUUUCUUGUGAUCUUUAUGAUCUAAGCAGUAUGUAAACACCUUGGUGUACAACUCUAUCAGUAAGACCCUGUUACUAUUGUUGAUGACAUUUCGGUAACCACCGAUGGACGAGAACUUUGCCUAUUGGUCCGCCUCGUCCUAAAGAGCAGGAAAAUGGUUCUCUUCGUCCCUCGCCCUUAGUACCGACGUUGUUUUCAACAUAACUGACGGGCUACCCUCUAACAUGCCUUGCUAUCAUGACCGUGCAAGAUGUCACCACUCCUUCUACCUUUAUCCCGUAUGGUGGGCCCAUAACCAACAGUUCCACAGGAUCAAAACCUAACUCUCCUGUACACCCCCGGUUUCCAAAGUUACUCCUCGCUCGUGGCCUCGUAUGUAAUUCACGAGCCACCUUCAGGUCUGAUAUCGGACACAAUAAUUAUUCCGUUGCUUUGAAGCCCCCUUUACCUUCUGUCUAGGCAUUGAACGAUUGCCUGGCUGCUUGAAACUUCUUAUUGUACCUUCCAACUUUACUCUCGAUGUGUUUUAUUUGUUCAACUCGAGAGGUACUCAUAUGCUCAUUCAUGGGUUAAUCCCAGAUUAUUACCCUUAUAGCAUUCUGUCAUUGCCGAUCUGCCCCGUUACCUAUUCGUAAAUACGAUGAAGAUCCCGAGGAAAGGAUGAGGACUUCAUCAUGAUAACCUGAAGCAGAGAAAUGAAGUCAUCAACGUAAUGAAUCAACCUCUUUGAGAAGAGCAACCAAGACCGGGAAGAUUUGAUAGAAUUUCGUAACCAGAUUUUCCCCCUUACUCCACCUCUUAAAUCUCGGGACGAGAUUUCUUGUAGUGGAGGAGAUUUGUAACACCCCGGGUGUCAUGCUGCAGUAAACUCCUAUUAAUGGUGCUACAUCAUCAUAAUUAAAAUUUUGCUAAUCAUCACUUUGUCCCAAACCGACCUCAAAUUCAAAUUUAAAAGACAAGUCAAAAUUAUUUCUCCUCAAGCUAUAAAACUAAAAUGUGCGAAUAGUUCUAUACAAUUUCCUUGAUCAAUGUCAUGUUUAAACCAACUUGGUUUGACUCACAAAUAAAUUCCUAGGAAAUUAAUAAGUGGUCCAAAAGCAUUUAAAUUGGCCUUUUCAAAAUAAGCAAAUAUUUAUAAAUUUCCAAAUGAUGUGAAACAUUGUGUGUGGUCUCAAAAUAUUGCCUACUAAUUACGUGCCAAAUUUCAAGUUGAACUAAAUUUAAUUACUUUGGCAAUUAAGUAGAAAACAGUACAGAAUUAAUAAAGCAGAAAACUUGAAAAAAAGAAGAAAA
rnacentral:lncRNA from 1 species